rnacentral:lncRNA from 1 species
GACUUCCCCAUAUGACUGUUGCCCUGCAUGUUUUGAGAUACCUUAAAGGCACUCCUUCUAUGGAUCUAUUUUAUUCUGCCAGUGAUGAUUUCUCUGUUGUUGGUUAUUCUGAUAGUGACUGGGCUGCUUGACCUAAUACUAGGAGAUCUGUUACUGGAUUUUCUGUGCUAUUGGGUGGUUGCCUGAUUAGUUGUAAAUCUAAGAAGCAACCUGUUGUUUCUUUGUCUUCUGCUGAGGCAGAAUAUAGAGCCCUCAGCAAAGUUGUUGCUGAAUUAGCUUGGAUAUCUCGUUUGUUGGUUGAUCUUGGGGUAUCUGUUUCUCUUCCUUUUUCCGUGUAUUGUGACAGCCAGGCUGCUGUCCAUAUAGCUAAUAAUCCUGUUUUUCAUGAGCGUACCAAACACAUCGAGGUUGACUGCCAUUUUGUUCGAGAUCAGCUCCAGAAUGGCCUUAUCAAGCUACUUCAUGUUCCUACUUCUCGUCAACUGGCUGACCUGCUCACUAAGCCAUUACCUGGCACUGUGCUUCAGCUCCAGAAUGGCCUUAUCAAGCUGCUUCAUGUUCCUACUUCUCGUCAACUGGCUGACCUGCUCACUAAACCAUUACCUGGCACUGUGCUUAAUCCGCUGUUGUCCAAGUUGCAGGUGGUUACCCCCUCCAACUUGGGGGGGGGGGGGUUGAGAUGAAAGACUAAAAUGAUUGUACACAUUGUAUAUAUAUUGUAUAUUUAUUGCAUUUUCUGGAAUACAAUGUAUUGGGCUGUGAUGAUUUGUUGUUUGGGUUGUACAUAUAUCUGAGCCCACUUUCCUUUUGUUCUUGGGUCGGGUCAGACGACCCAAGAAGUGAUUGUAUAUAAGGACUUAUAUAGAUAUUUUAUACACAGGGA